UACGUAGGUGACAAGCGUUGUCCGGAUUUACUGGGCGUAAAGGGUGCGUAGGUGGCGGGGUAAGUCUGGUGUGAAAGCUCCGAGCUCAACUCGGAAAAGCAUUGGAAACUAUCCCGCUGGAGGGUCGGAGGGGAGACUGGAAUUCUCGGUGUAGCAGUGAAAUGCGUAGAUAUCGAGAGGAACACCAGUGGCGAAGGCGAGUCUCUGGACGACUCCUGACACUGAGGCACGAAAGCUAGGGGAGCAAACAGG
rnacentral:rRNA from 1 species